GCGCUACUUGGCAUGGGAAGUUCACAACUGCAGCUGUGUGUCCACUCCAAGACAAGGAUAAGCAGUGAAUGAAUCCAGCAGUGAAUCACCCAGAGCUGUAUCUGGUCAACAUCUGAAGAAACCUUUGAAUGUCUGGGUUCCCUGAAUGGCACAUCCUUUCCAGGACCGCAUCUGUAACCUUUGAUCUCACCUGGAUGCAGCAGAAUCAUGUACUGCCCUAGUGCAGCUGCCCCCGGCCGACAGCAGCUCUGUGCUGGGCUCAGUGUGUGCAGAGGGAUUGGGGAGCCUGCCCACACAGCAUCACCUGUGCUGGAGGACAUCUGAGUGAUCUCCUUCUGCACCCAUCCGUCCUGGCAGGAGAGGUGUCCGGGGAAACCUAUGGAGCUGCAGCUGUAGCUGCUGAAUUUCUGGACAGCACCUUCUGCCGACUGUACAAACAGCCCUAUGGAACCUGUUCAGUGAUACCCUUGGAUGUCGGAGAUGUGGAAGGUGUUCAAGGCCAGAAGGUGCUGAGCUUAAUAUUCACUCUUGAGUGUUGCAGAGAUAACGUGUCAAAAAGCCUUCCAGAGGGGAAGCAUGCCUUAUUCUUUGAUACCAGAACAUUCUACAGGACAGGUUAAUUUGAGAGAAGUUAUUUAGAAGAGAAACUGGUGUGAAAAGCACCUGCAGGCCUUAGGAUUUCAG
rnacentral:lncRNA from 1 species